AGCCAUUCUUUUUCUGUUUCUCAUUAGAAAACAAACAGGCUUCUAAGGAAUAAUAAUAAAGUAAAAUAAACCUUUGGAACUGGACAAAAGAAACAGUAAAAGAGCUCAAGAGAAAGCACAAGAAUCAAAGACCCACUCAUUUACACACCGGGGAAUCCCACCAAAAAACUACUAAACUGAAGCCAUAAUGUAUACUCAAAGGACCUAGUGCAAACCUGGACUCAGAAUUAACUUUAUCCAGAGGUCUACAGAGGUGAUGAGUGUCUAUUACUGCUUACAUUAAGAAGUACAUGUUACAUCGUUGUUCUAGCUGUUUGUGUACUUGGCUAAGAUGACAAUGGCUAUGCCUCACCAAUUUUCCCUUAUAAUGAGUCAGUAGUCUCUCCUGUUUGUUAUCCACCCAUUUUUCAUUCCAUAAUUUUAAUUGUAGUUAGUGAUCUUUUACUAAGUUGCAAUGAAGUUUUGCAAGAUGAUCAUUUCUAAUUCUGUCACUUUUUGUACUUACAAAUAUAAUUGUAAAGAAUAUUAUCUAUUUUUCUGGCUAGUAUUUGUUGUAAAUGGACAUGGUUUUAUUGUUGUUUUUCCUAAUUCAGUGUUACUCAUUUCAGGAAGACUCUGUGAGCUUUGACAUGCUUCUAGCAUUAAAAAUAAAUCUAGCUUUCCUGGUGGUUUGGCUGUCACAGAUUUGAAAUCAACCAUUUCUUCAAGAAGCUAUGAUAGCUUUUAUAAUGGUGAAGAAAUGGAUAGUGUUUGAAUUCAGUUAAGAAGUAGAAGUCAAGUAGUGAGUGAGUUCAAAAUCUGGUACAGUGAUAACAACAGCAAAUGUUUGGUCAUUUACAAAAUUCUAAGCAGACCCUGAGAAGCUUGUUCGGUGGGUUAAGAAUUAGGACUGUUUGCUGUGCACGUGUGAGGGCCGGAGUUUGAAUCCUCAGAGUCCACAGCAAAAGCUGCCCUUACCUGUAAGCCCAGAACUGGCAGGGCAGAGACAGGAACUGUUUGCUGGCAGCCAGCCUAUCUCGAGACUCUGUGUGAGAAACCCUGCCUUAAUAAGGUGGGGGAGUGACAGAGGAGAACACCUAGUGACCUUGGCUUCCAGACAUGCGCAUGUGCACUCCCACACUCAACAUGUAUACCCCACAUACACCAAUGAAAGAGUUAGGUCAUUUCAAAAUAUCAAGUCUAAAAUUAGGAGCUAAUUAAAAAUGAAAACUGUAGACCUUAUGGUCAUUCUUCAUUAUACAGUUUCUCCAUUAGAGGGUUGUGUGGAAAUAUGACAUGUGACAAAUGUGAAGAAACUGAGUGGAUUUGAAUGUCCCCCUCCCCCCCAACUAUAUUUUUGAUAAUUUCUCAUACAAGACUUUUCUGUGUAGCUGAGGCUGGCUUGGAAUUCAUGAACCUCUAUUUCUGCUUUAGUGCUGGGAUUACAGGUGUGUGCUACCACUCCUGAAAAAGUAAUUUUAUUUUAAAACAAAUGUGUUAACCUGUAAAGUAUGUCAGUCAGGAUUCCAGCAGUUGUGUAAACCUAAGCAGGAUUCAGGGGCAUAUACAUAUCAGGGGAUAUACAUAUCAGGGGCAUAUACAUAUCAGGGGAUAGUUGGUGGCAUUAAAAUGUAAUGUAAGGGCUGGGGAUGAUCAAAGUGGCGUUCCCCUGGAGGCUAAAUGUUCAGGAUCUAAAGAAGAAGGAACAAAUGAAAAAGGAUAUUGUGGCUGUUUGGGGGAGAUUAUUUUUAAUGUUUUCUUGGGAUUAUAUUAUAAUCCAUCACUUCCACUUCUGUUUCCCACUUCUAAUCCUCCCCUUCCCAGCUCUCUGUCAAAUUCAUGUUCUCCUUUUCUUUGGCGAUGGUGGUGGUGAUGUGUGUUCCUAAAUACAUAACUACAACCUACAGUUUGUCUAAUGUCACUUGUACGCACAUGUUUUCAAGGCUACUUGGCACAGCGGACGGAGCAUUUUCCCUGGGGACACUGUUCUCCAGCUGUCAGCACUCCUUAGUUGUCUGUAGCUCUUUAUUUAGUGUUGAGGCCCCUUCCAUGUUAGCAUGUCUAUUGAUGUUCUUGUUCAGGUCUUGUUUAGCUGUGUUUGUAAGGAUUCAUGGAUGUAGUCUCUGACGUUAUGAAGAGACACAGCUCACAUCAGACCUCCUCUUCCUUUGCUUUGCAGUCUUUGUGCCCUCUUUUCUGGAAUGAUCCCUGAACCCUAGGAAUUUUGUUGAAGAUAUAUCAUUUGGGGCUAGACACAGUCAUUUGCUGUAUGUAUUUGAUCAGUUGGGGGAUUUCUGUAAUAGUCUCCAUUUGUUGAAACACAGUUUCUAUGAUAAGGAGAACUUAUCUGUGGGUACAUGUAUAAACAUUUAGAAUGUAGUUAGUGGUUAGCUAUGCUGGUUCAGCACAGUGGUGACCACAGGUUCUCCUCCACGAUCCAUGGCUUCACUAGCACUGGAUAGUUGGCUCAUUUUCCUGUGCCAAGCAUGAUUUCCCUCCUGUGCAGCAGGCCUGAAGUCCAAUUCUAUAGUGUCUGGCUUACCGUCAGACUGCGUGCUUAGGGCUCUGGUGUCAGACUGGUCAUCAUUGCGGUUCAUAGGCACCAUAGCCGGGGAGGACUAUUGGUUGCCCUUUCCUUUGAAAGCUUGUGUGACACCUUCUGAUACUACGAAAUAAAUUCCUCAGGCAGGAGGUGAAUGUUCUCAGAUCACACAGCAAGUACACGUCCUCUGGUCCAUGUGCCCCAAGUGCAUAGUGUCUUCAGCAAUAGGGGCUUAUCUUGUCUAGUGUGAAUGUUCAUUCUAGACUAAAGGUAAUAGGAAUAGAAGAUCAGUUUUAGAAUUAUUUUAGGAGCUAAAUAAGCAGAACUUAGUGCAUGUAUAGAGAAGACAUUUUAGGGUGAUUUCUCUACUUUUCCUUCUUUAGGCCAGUUAGAUUUUAGAUUCAGAGUCAGUUACACAUAGAAUUAGAAGGUGUAAAGGCUAGUUUUAACAGUGGAGAUAUAUUUGGAAACCAACAGUAUAUUGCUGAACUGUUAACUGAAGGAUAUACUAAAAGUAGAGGAUGAAUCAGGGAUGCAGUUUCUAAUUCGGGUAUCCCAUAAAUUAGUAUUCAAGAGCACAAAGAAAAAAAAUUUGGAGAUAGCUUCCUAGAAGUACUAACUAAAUAUUUGGUUGUAUAAAGCUAAAUAAUUGAUUAGUCCUUUGCUUGAAUAAUUGCCUUAGAGCUUCUGUACUGUCAAUAUUGUUUUAGCAGUAGAUAUUUAUUUUUGAAAGUGUGUAUAUACAUAUAUGCAGUGUGUACACAGUGUGCAGAGGCCAGAGUUGAAUGUCAGCAGUCUUUCUCUGUUCUUCUUAGCUCCAUCCCCACUCACUGAACCAGGAACUCACCAUUACAGGCAUCUGCCACUGCAGAUGCUGAGUCCAAACGUAGUUCUUUAUGCAUGCACACUUUAUUGAGCAAUCUCUCCAACCCCUCAAUAGACAGUUUCCCUCUAUAAGAAUGCCUAGAGAUAUUUACAUGGGUGUUUUUCUGGUUCUAAGUAAAGCUGAACUCUAUCUAAGCCUGUCCUUUACAGCCAAAAGGAAAGAGAACAAAAA